UACGAAGGGUGCAAGCGUUACUCGGAAUUACUGGGCGUAAAGCGUGCGUAGGUGGUUUGUUAAGUCUGAUGUGAAAGCCCUGGGCUCAACCUGGGAAUUGCACUGGAUACUGGCAGGCUAGAGUGCGGUAGAGGAUGGCGGAAUUCCCGGUGUAGCAGUGAAAUGCGUAGAGAUCGGGAGGAACAUCCGUGGCGAAGGCGGCCAUCUGGACCAGCACUGACGCUGAGGAGCGAAAGCAUGGGUAGCGAACAGGG
rnacentral:rRNA from 1 species